rnacentral:rRNA from 1 species
AUACGGAGGGUGCAAGCGUUAUCCGGAAUCACUGGGCGUAAAGGGCGCGUAGGCGGCCUGUUAAGUCCGAUGUUAAAGACUGGGGCUCAACCCCAGCAUUGCGUUGGAUACUGGCAGGCUUGACGGUUGGAGAGGCGAGUGGAAUUACCAGUGUAGCGGUGAAAUGCGUAGAUACUGGUAGGAACACCCAUUGCGAAGGCAGCUCGCUGGACAACACGUGACGCUGAGGCGCGAAAGUGUGGGGAGCAAACCGGAUUAGAUACCCGGGUAGUCCACACCCUAAACGAUGCAUACUUGGUGUUGGCCCGUUGGGGGUCAGCGCCGGAGCUAACGCGUUAAGUAUGCCGCCUGGGAAGUACGGCCGCAAGGUUGAA